rnacentral:lncRNA from 1 species
UCUUUAUUUUGUAAAACAUUGUUCAAUUUAUUUGUCAAUAGUAGUACUCUGAACAUCAAGUCGAGCAUAAAAAUAAAUAUCUAAAUCUUACGCGAAUAGAUUUCUACAUCUAGUAACUGAAUGUGGCGGCUUACAUUCAAUAUUUUCAAGCACGUGAUAAUUGAAGGAAAUAGAAAUAUACAAUUGUCCAACAACAUACCCAUUAUAUUCUCAUACUUAAGAUCUGAAGAGAGUAGUGUGUACGCAGAACUUACCCCUACCUAGUGAAGGUUGAGAGAUUGUUUUCAAUAAUUUAAAGGGCAGCCUGGUGCACUAAACUCCCGCUAUGCGUGGGGUUCGGGGAAGGGCCGUACCACAAGAGUCUAUUAUACGCAAUUUUACCCUGCAUUUUGGCAAGAAAUUAUUUCCACGGCUUGAACACAUGACUUCCUGGUCACAUGAUAGUAACUUUACCGGUUAACCUUAGACUCUCUUCUAAAUAUUUUAAAAUGAGAUUCUCUGUGAGUUUCACCCGGUCAUUGCAGCCGCGUUUUUUAUUCAAUCCUUGCCCGAUUUGACAUCUCCAACUUUAAGCAAUUCUUAACUUAUCUACUUGACGUUGUGGAAAAGUCCUUGCGCUCAAAAGAUGCUCCUGCAGUAUCCACAUCCAAAUGCUUUUAGAAAGAUACAAGUGUUAAUUGCAAGAGCAAAAAAAAUGAAUAUAAUAUGUAGUUGCAGCAUCUUGCAAGAUCAAAGACUUGAGGCCAUUUAUUUCCCGUUACAUAUUACUAGCUUCUUCGUAACAUUGUGCACAUAUACCAAAUGGACUUAACGAGACCAAAAGCAAAAAAUAAAUUGCUUCCUUUAGUGAUAGUGCAAAUGUAUCAUCACUCACGUUGACAAUAGCCAAGAUCACUCGAUCACCAUUCAAUUUUUGUUAACAUAUCGACAUCUAGGGUUAUUUGCUCUUUACGUGAAAUGUCCUUUGGUUUAUCAAUUAAUAUCCUAAAAUAAUCACCAUCCAAGUCUUUGAUGACAACUUUGAUUGUUUCUUUAUCAUAAGCAUCCACAAUAUUUUUUUGAAUGGUUGGAGAAAUCAUCAUAUCAUUAUUUAAAACAGUAUGUAAUAUAACGUUUCCUACAUUCAUGUGUCUAUCUCCCAUGUCAUUCCAAAAGUUCUGCCUUUGAUUGUAGAAAUCUUUUCCCAUCGUGACCACAAAAUGGCAACCCAAUCUUAAGAGACAUCUUGCCACUACAACUAAGGCAUAUAAUUGCAUCUAAUAUUCGCUUUCACUAUAUCACUUUGCUUGUCAAAAGAAAAUUGAACUGAACGAAGUUGAUAUAUCAAAUCUUAGCAUCUUGUUGAAACAUUUAUGAUGGAUACUAUUUACCUCACUAACUAAUAU